UUAAGCGACUAAGCGUACACGGUGGAUGCCCUGGCAGUCAGAGGCGAUGAAGGACGUGCUAAUCUGCGAUAAGCGUCGGUAAGGUGAUAUGAACCGUUAUAACCGGCGAUUUCCGAAUGGGGAAACCCAGUGUGUUUCGACACACUAUCAUUAACUGAAUCCAUAGGUUAAUGAGGCGAACCGGGGGAACUGAAACAUCUAAGUACCCCGAGGAAAAGAAAUCAACCGAGAUUCCCCCAGUAGCGGCGAGCGAACGGGGAGCAGCCCAGAGCCUGAAUCAGUGUGUGUGUUAGUGGAAGCGUCUGGAAAGGCGCGCGAUACAGGGUGACAGCCCCGUACACAAAAAUGCACAUGCUGUGAGCUCGAUGAGUAGGGCGGGACACGUGGUAUCCUGUCUGAAUAUGGGGGGACCAUCCUCCAAGGCUAAAUACUCCUGACUGACCGAUAGUGAACCAGUACCGUGAGGGAAAGGCGAAAAGAACCCCGGCGAGGGGAGUGAAAAAGAACCUGAAACCGUGUACGUACAAGCAGUGGGAGCACGCUUAGGCGUGUGACUGCGUACCUUUUGUAUAAUGGGUCAGCGACUUAUAUUCUGUAGCAAGGUUAACCGAAUAGGGGAGCCGAAGGGAAACCGAGUCUUAACUGGGCGUUAAGUUGCAGGGUAUAGACCCGAAACCCGGUGAUCUAGCCAUGGGCAGGUUGAAGGUUGGGUAACACUAACUGGAGGACCGAACCGACUAAUGUUGAAAAAUUAGCGGAUGACUUGUGGCUGGGGGUGAAAGGCCAAUCAAACCGGGAGAUAGCUGGUUCUCCCCGAAAGCUAUUUAGGUAGCGCCUCGUGAAUUCAUCUCCGGGGGUAGAGCACUGUUUCGGCAAGGGGGUCAUCCCGACUUACCAACCCGAUGCAAACUGCGAAUACCGGAGAAUGUUAUCACGGGAGACACACGGCGGGUGCUAACGUCCGUCGUGAAGAGGGAAACAACCCAGACCGCCAGCUAAGGUCCCAAAGUCAUGGUUAAGUGGGAAACGAUGUGGGAAGGCCCAGACAGCCAGGAUGUUGGCUUAGAAGCAGCCAUCAUUUAAAGAAAGCGUAAUAGCUCACUGGUCGAGUCGGCCUGCGCGGAAGAUGUAACGGGGCUAAACCAUGCACCGAAGCUGCGGCAGCGACGCUUAUGCGUUGUUGGGUAGGGGAGCGUUCUGUAAGCCUGCGAAGGUGUGCUGUGAGGCAUGCUGGAGGUAUCAGAAGUGCGAAUGCUGACAUAAGUAACGAUAAAGCGGGUGAAAAGCCCGCUCGCCGGAAGACCAAGGGUUCCUGUCCAACGUUAAUCGGGGCAGGGUGAGUCGACCCCUAAGGCGAGGCCGAAAGGCGUAGUCGAUGGGAAACAGGUUAAUAUUCCUGUACUUGGUGUUACUGCGAAGGGGGGACGGAGAAGGCUAUGUUGGCCGGGCGACGGUUGUCCCGGUUUAAGCGUGUAGGCUGGUUUUCCAGGCAAAUCCGGAAAAUCAAGGCUGAGGCGUGAUGACGAGGCACUACGGUGCUGAAGCAACAAAUGCCCUGCUUCCAGGAAAAGCCUCUAAGCAUCAGGUAACAUCAAAUCGUACCCCAAACCGACACAGGUGGUCAGGUAGAGAAUACCAAGGCGCUUGAGAGAACUCGGGUGAAGGAACUAGGCAAAAUGGUGCCGUAACUUCGGGAGAAGGCACGCUGAUAUGUAGGUGAAGUCCCUCGCGGAUGGAGCUGAAAUCAGUCGAAGAUACCAGCUGGCUGCAACUGUUUAUUAAAAACACAGCACUGUGCAAACACGAAAGUGGACGUAUACGGUGUGACGCCUGCCCGGUGCCGGAAGGUUAAUUGAUGGGGUUAGCCGCAAGGCGAAGCUCUUGAUCGAAGCCCCGGUAAACGGCGGCCGUAACUAUAACGGUCCUAAGGUAGCGAAAUUCCUUGUCGGGUAAGUUCCGACCUGCACGAAUGGCGUAAUGAUGGCCAGGCUGUCUCCACCCGAGACUCAGUGAAAUUGAACUCGCUGUGAAGAUGCAGUGUACCCGCGGCAAGACGGAAAGACCCCGUGAACCUUUACUAUAGCUUGACACUGAACAUUGAGCCUUGAUGUGUAGGAUAGGUGGGAGGCUUUGAAGUGUGGACGCCAGUCUGCAUGGAGCCGACCUUGAAAUACCACCCUUUAAUGUUUGAUGUUCUAACGUUGAUCCGUAAUCCGGGUUGCGGACAGUGUCUGGUGGGUAGUUUGACUGGGGCGGUCUCCUCCUAAAGAGUAACGGAGGAGCACGAAGGUUGGCUAAUCCUGGUCGGACAUCAGGAGGUUAGUGCAAUGGCAUAAGCCAGCUUGACUGCGAGCGUGACGGCGCGAGCAGGUGCGAAAGCAGGUCAUAGUGAUCCGGUGGUUCUGAAUGGAAGGGCCAUCGCUCAACGGAUAAAAGGUACUCCGGGGAUAACAGGCUGAUACCGCCCAAGAGUUCAUAUCGACGGCGGUGUUUGGCACCUCGAUGUCGGCUCAUCACAUCCUGGGGCUGAAGUAGGUCCCAAGGGUAUGGCUGUUCGCCAUUUAAAGUGGUACGCGAGCUGGGUUUAGAACGUCGUGAGACAGUUCGGUCCCUAUCUGCCGUGGGCGCUGGAGAACUGAGGGGGGCUGCUCCUAGUACGAGAGGACCGGAGUGGACGCAUCACUGGUGUUCGGGUUGUCAUGCCAAUGGCACUGCCCGGUAGCUAAAUGCGGAAGAGAUAAGUGCUGAAAGCAUCUAAGCACGAAACUUGCCCCGAGAUGAGUUCUCCCUGACCCUUUAAGGGUCCUGAAGGAACGUUGAAGACGACGACGUUGAUAGGCCGGGUGUGUAAGCGCAGCGAUGCGUUGAGCUAACCGGUACUAAUGAACCGUGAGGCUUAACCUU
rnacentral:rRNA from 1 species